rnacentral:tRNA from 1 species
ACUCAGUUGGUAGGGUGCUCCACUGGAAAUGGAGAGGUCCCUUGGUUCGAUACCAGG